ACGGAUCCAUACUGAAACCUAGUGAUGUAUGGAUUAGUGGCGGACGGGUGAGUAACGCGUGGAUAACCUGCCGUAUACAGGGGGAUAACACUUAGAAAUAGGUGCUAAUACCGCAUAAGCGCACGGUUCCGCAUGGAACAGUGUGAAAAACUCCGGUGGUAUACGAUGGAUCCGCGUCUGAUUAGCCAGUUGGUGGGGUAACGGCCCACCAAAGCGACGAUCAGUAGCCGGCCUGAGAGGGUGAACGGCCACAUUGGGACUGAGACACGGCCCAAACUCCUACGGGAGGCAGCAGUGGGGAAUAUUGCACAAUGGGGGAAACCCUGAUGCAGCAACGCCGCGUGAGUGAAGAAGUAUUUCGGUAUGUAAAGCUCUAUCAGCAGGGAAGAAAAUGACGGUACCUGAGUAAGAAGCCCCGGCUAACUACGUGCCAGCAGCCGCGGUAAUACGUAGGGGGCAAGCGUUAUCCGGAUUUACUGGGUGUAAAGGGAGCGUAGACGGCGAUGCAAGUCUGAAGUGAAAGCCCGGGGCUCAACCCCGGGACUGCUUUGGAAACUGUAUGGCUGGAGUGCUGGAGAGGCAAGCGGAAUUCCUAGUGUAGCGGUGAAAUGCGUAGAUAUUAGGAAGAACACCAGUGGCGAAGGCGGCUUGCUGGACAGUAACUGACGUUGAGGCUCGAAAGCGUGGGGAGCAAACAGGAUUAGAUACCCUGGUAGUCCACGCUGUAAACGAUGAAUGCUAGGUGUUGGGGAGCAAAGCUUCUCGGUGCCGCCGCAAACGCAGUAAGCAUUCCACCUGGGGAGUACGUUCGCAA
rnacentral:rRNA from 1 species